UUAUAUAAUAGAUGGCAUUGGGUGAAUGCCUUGGCAGAGCAAGAAAAGGACGUUUAACGCAACGAAACGCUACGAGUAGGCGCGUAAUCCCUGAGAUCCGUAGAUAUCCUUUUGGAAAACCUUUAUAAAGAUAUGGUUUAUAUCUUUAAACAAACUUAGCGAACUGAAACAUCUAAGUAGCUAAAGGAAAAAAAAUCAACCGAGACUCCGUAAGUAGUGGUGAGCGAAAGCGGAUUAGGCCGUUUAGAAUAAUAAAGUGGUAAAAAGUAUUUUUAUUAAAACAAUAAAGAUUGGAAAAUUGUGCCAAAGUGGGUGAUAGCCCCGUAGAUAAAAAUAAAACCCUUCUAAACAAAAGAGUAAAGCGAGUGCCAUACCUUGUUUGAACAAAGGGGGACCACCCCCUAAGCCUAAGUACUCUGCUCUGACCGAUAGUGAACAAGUACCGUGAGGGAAAGGUGAAAAGAACCCUAAAUAGGGAGUGAAAAAGAUCCUAAAACCCAAUGCCUAUAAACAGUCGAAGCUCACAAAAAAAAGUGUGAGUAACGGCGUACCUUUUGUAUAAUGGGUCAGCAAGUAAGUUAAUAGAGCAUGCUUAAACCGUUAGGUGUAGGCAUAGUAAACGCGAGUCUAAAUAGGGCAAAAACAAAUAAUUGUUCUAUUAACUUGACCCGAAACUGGGUGAUCUAGCCAUGAGCAGGUUGAAAAAGGGGUAACACUCUUUGGAGGACCGAACCCACGUCUGUGGCAAUAGACGGGGAUGACUUGUGGUUAGCGGUGAAAUGCCAAUCGAACCCAGAGAUAGCUGGUUUUCUGCGAAAUCUAUGUAGGUAGAGCGUGUUUAAUAAAAAAAAGGGGGUAGAGCACUCCAUGGGUGAGGGUGGUCCAAAGCUUUACCGAUCUCAAGGAAACUCCGAAUACCUUUUAGGGAGUAUUCCCUGCUUUAUUUUUAUUUUUGAUCACUUGAUUUAAAAAAAAAAAGAGCAGUGAAUAAUCGUAAAAAAACACAGACAGACUUUGGGCGCUAAGGUCCAAAGUCAAAAGGGAAAAAACCCAGAUCGAACGCUAAGGUCCCUAAGCAAUUACUUAGUGGGAAAGGAUGUUAUACAGGCAAAGACAACCAGGAGGUGGGCUUGGAAGCAGCCAUCCUUUUAAGAAAGCGUAAUAGCUCACUGGUCUAGCCCAAUAUCACCAAAAAUGUAACGGGGCUUAAGUAAUUCACCGAAGCGACGACUUAUUCCUUUUCUAGAGCGAAAUCAAACAACCGUUUGUUUUUUUUUCCUCAGAAAAAAUAAAAAAAUAAGGGUAGCAGAACGUUCUGUAAGUUGUUAAAGAUGAAUCGCAAGGAUCAUUGGAAAUAUCAGAAGUGAUAAUGCUGACAUGAGUAACGUGAAAUCCUGUUAAAUUCAGGAUCGCCGAAAGUUUAAGGGUUUCCACAAAACGUAGUUUGGUGUGGAGUUAAACGGCCCCUAAGAUAAAAAGAGAAAUCUUUUAUUAAUGGGAAAUUUUCUAUUCAUAACCAAGUGAGUGAACAAGGAAAAAGCGAUUGGUUUAAUCGAGCCAAUCGCUUUGGCUGGAAAACAACUACUUGGAUAAGGAGAAGUUUGAAGGGAAAGUCACGAAGAUAUAAUUUUUUAUUUGUAAAAAUGGAUAUACAUGAUAAUAAAUUUAUUUUCCAGGAAAUAACUGCCCUAAAAUAAUCACCGUACCCAAAACCCACACAGGUAAACUGGUUGAGAAAACCAAGGCGAAUGAGAAAACAAUGUUGAAGGAACUCGGCAAAUUACCUCCGUAACUUCGGGAAAAGGAGGGCCUUUUUUUAAACAAUAAAAAGGUGACACAAAAUAGGGGGUGGCGACUGUUUAUUAAAAACACAGCACUCUGCUAAGUGGCAACACCAAGUAUAGGGUGUGACGCCUGCCCGGUGCUGGAAACUUAAGGGGAAGGGUGAAACUCCUUAUCGCUUUGCUAACGCAAAGCGUUAGGGAGAGGAGCUCAAAACUUAAGGCCCAGUAAACGGCGGCCGUAAUCCUGACGGUCCUAAGGUAGCGAAAUUCCUUGGCACCUAAUUAGUGUCCUGCAUGAAUGGCGUCACGACUGCCCCACUGUCUCCAACAUUGACUCAGUGAAAUUGAAUUCUCCGUGAAGAUGCGGAGUUCCCGAAAAAAGACGGUAAGACCCUAUGCACCUUUACUAUACCUUAUCAUUGGAAAAAAAAAUGGGAUGUGUAGGAUAGGUGGGAGCUUUUGCAACCUUGAAAUACCACCCUUUCCUUUUUUUUUUCCUAAUCUGGUUUUUUUUAAAAAAACAGAGACAUUGUUAAGUGGGUAGUUUCUCUGGGGCGGAGGCUUCCUAAAGAGUAACGGAAGCGCGCGAAGGUAAGUUCAAGCUGGUCGGAAAUCAGCUGUAGAGCGUAAUGGUAUAAGCUUGCCUGACUGUGAGACCUACAAGUCGAACAGGGACGAAAGUCGGCCAUAAUGACCCGGGAGCACUGUGUGGAAAGGCUCUCGCUUAACGGAUCAAAGGUACGCUAGGGAUAACAGGCUAAUGACCCCCAAGAGCUCUUAUCGACGGGGUCGUUUGGCACCUCGAUGUCGACUCAUCACAUCCUGGAGUUGAAGAAGAUUCCAAGGGUUCGGCUGUUCGCCGAUUAAAGUGGUACGUGAGUUGGGUUUAGUACGUUGAGAAACAGUACGGAUCCUAUCUUUUUUGGGUGUAAUAAAAAACUGAGAGAAUCAUUCUUUUGUACGAGAGGACCGAGAAUGGUGAACCUCUGGUUUACCAGUUGUCGCGCCAGCGGCACAGCUGGGUAGCUACGUUCAAAUCAAAUAACCGCUGAAUGCCUAUCAAGCGGGAAAUUGUUUCUCAAAACAAGUUUCAAAAAUCGUGGAAGACUACCACGCAAUAGGCGAGAAGUGUAAAUCUAGUAAUGGAACAGCUUACUCGUACUAAUUAACAAAGCGGUAUCCAAUA
rnacentral:rRNA from 1 species